CAGCCGCCGCGGGAAAACGGAGGGUGCAAGCGUUAAUCGGAAUUACUGGGCGUAAAGCGCACGCAGGCGGUCUGACAAGUCAGAUGUGAAAUCCCCGGGCUUAACCUAGGAACUGCAUUUGAAACUGUCAGGCUGGAGUCUUGUAGAGGGGGGUGGAAUUCCAGGUGUAGCGGUGAAAUGCGUAGAGAUCUGGAGGAAUACCGGUGGCGAAGGCGGCCCCCUGGACAAAGACUGACGCUCAGGUGCGAAAGCGUGGGGAGCAAACAGGAUUAGAUACCCCUGUAGUCCCUGUCUCUUAUAC
rnacentral:rRNA from 1 species